rnacentral:rRNA from 1 species
GACGAACGCUGGCGGCGUGCUUAACACAUGCAAGUCGAACGGAAAGGCCCUGCUUUUGUGGGGUGCUCGAUUGGCGAACGGGUGAGUAACACGUGAGUAACCUGCCCUUGACUUUGGGAUAACUUCAGGGAACUGGGGCUAAUACCGGAUAGGAGCUCCUGCUGCAUGGUGGGGGUUGGAAAGUUUCGGCGGUUGGGGAUGGACUCGCGGCUUAUCAGCUUGUUGGUGGGGUAGUGGCUUACCAAGGCUUUGACGGGUAGGCGGCCUGAGAGCGUGACCGGGCACCAUGGGACUGAGAGACGGAGCAGUAGGCUACGGGAGGCAGUAGUGGGGAAUCUUGCACAAUGGGCGGAAGCGUGAUGCGGCGACGCCGCGUGCGGGAUGCCGGCCUUCGGGGUGUAAACCGCUUUGGACUGUGACGAAGCGGGAGUGACGGUAAUGGGUAAAGAAGCACCGGCUAACUACGUG